UACGAAGGGUGCAAGCGUUACUCGGAAUUACUGGGCGUAAAGCGUGCGUAGGUGGUGAGUUAAGUCUGUCGUGAAAGCCCCGGGCUCAACCUGGGAAUGGCGAUGGAUACUGGCUCGCUAGAGUGCGGUAGAGGAGAGUGGAAUCCCCGGUGUAGCAGUGAAAUGCGUAGAGAUCGGGAGGAUCAUCAGUUGCGAAGGCGGCUCUCUGGACCAGCACUGACACUGAGGCACGAAAGCGUGGGAGCAAACAGG
rnacentral:rRNA from 1 species